ACCCAUGAAUAACAAGAAGAUAUAUUUUCAUUAAUUUGACAAUAAGGAGAUCAUGUAUACAACACCAAUCCAUUACUAUUAGCUACUUCAUUUAUAAGUCCCUAAAAUGUUACAUUACACAUCCAUAGUUUAGAAGUGGAACAUGUGAUACAAUUACAACAUCUUUAGUUUGACCUUCCCAAUACCAACGUACAACCCACACCAUGUCUACGGAGCCUCUAACGGGUACAAAAGAGUACUAAGAUAGUGUCGGCAACAAGGCCCCAACUAUACCUCAAAACACAAUACAUGAGAAACAAAAGAUGCAUGACCCCGAUAUGAAGUGGGGCUCACCAAGUCAGCUGAGAGGAGGAUGUACUGCUAUCACUGAUCGAUGCCGUCUGCUAUGGAACCACCUGCAUCCAUUACAAAAUGUAGCACCCCUGGAAAAAGGGAAGUGAGUACAUGUAGAAUAGUACUCGUAUGUAAGGCAGACAGAACAACAUAUGGAAGUACGGUAACUCAAAUAAGAGGCAAAUAAAUUACGUCAAGAAACUACGAAAUGACCCAUAGCAUCACAUGUCAAGUCUUAUUAUACUUACAUCAUUCUGAACUUCUUUUAGGAUCAAGCGUGCCCUAUGAACUAUGCGUGGGAUACAAAAUAUAAUGUAAAAGUACCAACAUGUACAAACAAGGGCAAUAGAAGUGGCACCUAUUGUUCGUGUUGCCUAUGCGUCUCACCAGACCGUCUAUAGGGUUCACAUAUUAUGUUAUACACCUAUGCGUUUCAUAGAUGGUCCAUAGGGUUUCAUUCAUAUUACACACCUAUGCGUUUCAUAUACCGACCAUUGGGAUUUAUUCAUACUAUACACAUAUGCGUUUCAUAGACCGUCAUAGGGAUUCAUUCAUAUUAUACACCUAUGCAUUUUAUAGACCGUCCGUAUGAAUUCAAUCAUAUUAUACACCUAUGCAUUUCAUAGACCGUCCAUAGGAUUCACAUAUUAUACCAUCAUGCACACGACCAUAUUUACAUUCAAGCGACAUGAUUAACAUUACCGUUAAGGUCGUAAGUUCCCAGAUCAUUGGAAUACUUCAUGUUCAUUCUCAUCAUGGAGAAACACAGCUUAUUACAUUAACACAUGCAUGGCAAAUCACUAAGUAGAUUUCAAUGGUGCAUGGACCCAAUUUCUUUUCUUAAGGUUCAUCAUCAUUUAGCAUAGGACGUCUCUUUUCCACUUCAUUAUAUACCUCCUUGUCAUAUUAAGGUCACUAGCUAAGUUCAUGAUUCUCGGCGACUUAACAUCGAAGUCAUUUACAUUCAUUAUUUUAGAAGCAUACAAACUAUAGUUGAAGCCAUUGGAACAUACAGUGCCUCAUGAUUCUCAUUUCGGCAAGCGGCCACAGUUCAUGCUCGUACUAUCACUUACUUGAACUUUCCAUGGGUGAUCAUAGGACAUUAAUGACAUUAUUAUAUAAAUGAGUCAAAACCCAUCUCAUAAUCUUUCACACCUUCUUUCAUUUCAUUGGCACUAUUGGCCAUAACGCAAUCUCAUUCUUGGCAUGAUGGUCGUACUUCAUAUCUCAUACUCCCUUCUUUCACUUUCAAAUAUCAUCACGGGUCAUUAACAACAAGGUCUAUUAAAUUAAGACUUUAACUACACAAGUGAGCAAAUAGGAGUCUUAGGCACAUAGGGAUUUCUUACACAAUAUGGCAUAAUAACUUUCAUUUGAACUUGACUUCAAGUCAGAACAUUUUAAUACAUAGUAUGAUAAAAAUAUCCGAAACACAUUUGGAACAUAUUUAUAUAUACUUCUUUCGACACCAAGCUUAUUCGAAAUAGUCAAUUUAUAAUGAACAACUCGGGACUUACAAGAUCAUCGUGGGAUUCGAUUCUAAGAGAGAAGUUUAGCCAACAUACCUCGCUUUGAGCUUUCUUUAAUUCACUACACAGUUCCGGAAAUCCUAGCAACUUGGAUCUAUUUAGGCAUAUAGCAAAAUUGAACACAAAUUAGGAAGGAUUUCAUGGUUCCAGCUCAUUUGAGCAUUUUAUCAAACACUAGGUGGGUAUUAUGAUUUUAAGGUCCUCCUAUGGUGGAUUCCUUCAUUCCACUACCUAAAGUCUAUCCAAUUUAGCUCAACAUUCUUCCCCCAACCCUUGAUAGUACAUGCAUGCAUAAUGGACAACUCCCACACCCAAGAAUUGCUUUUCUCAUUACCUAUUCCCAAACAAAAUUUCGAAAUUGAAGGUUAGGGCUAGAACCUUACCUCUUGGUUGAAGACCUUGUGAGAUUUCUUGUUGAAUUUCAAAGCUUGAGCAAGAUUUCGGAUGAACAAUUAGCUUAGGGAUUUCACCUCACUCUAGGGCACUUCAUCUCUCUAAAAAUAAAAUAUUAGAUAUUCCCUUCAAAAAUGGUCCCUUACAUCUAAUUAUCGAGAUAGGGUCAAGUAAUAAAAAUUAGAAAAAUGACGCCCCGAUGCAGAUCUGCGGUCGCAUAUGCGACCGCAUAACGCUUUUGUGGUCCGCAUAAUGGCCCUCAGGAACUGGGCACUUUUGCCUCACUCUGCGACCAGUCUGUGGUCCGUAGACCAAUUCGGCGGUCUCAUAAUGCACCGCAGAACUUCUCCCCAAAAAUUCUUUUGUUGGAUAUGCGAUGGGUUGUGCAGCCCGCAAAAUGCUUAUGCGCCCGCAUAAUGGACCGUAUAAUGGUCCAAAAAUUCCCAAGUUUUUGUUUCAGUCUGCGGCAGAUCUGCGGUCAACAUAUCAGUUCUGCGACUGCAGAAUGGACCGCAGAUUUGCCCUGCACUUCCAAAAUAUUUCUUCAAUUCCCGAAUGCACUGUUCAACCCAAAAAGUCCAAGCUCGCCGCAAAGAAUCUGUACAAUAAAAAAUGCAUAAGUCUACCUCGGCACAUCGAAACCCCGGAUUUUAGGUAAAAUUUUACGGGGCCUUACAAGAGAUGCCUGGGCAGACUUUAUAUUUCGAGGGUAGAGUUUAUUUUAUCACAUUUUGAGAUCUAUAGAUCGGAUUUGGGCAAUUUUGGAGGUGACUUUCAUGAAUUGGAUUGGGGUACGUAUUUUUACUCGAAUUUGAUUAUUUUAUAUGAUUCCAUCUUUGAUUUUGGCAUUUUAGUGAUGAAUAUAAAAGAGAAAUGGGGGGUUUUGUCAAAAUAUUUCUAAAGUGAAUAAUUGAUAUUUGAACAUCGAUUUGGAGUCGAAGUUGGAUGAAAUUAGUAUGGUGGGACUAGUAUUCGAGUGGGUUGUCAGAAUUUGUGAGUUUUGUCGGAUUUCAGGAUAUGACCCGGGGUUGACUUUGAGUAUUUGAUUAAAGAUUCCACAUUUAUUGCUGGGUUUGAUUCAUAUGGCAUUAUUUGAUAUUUGAGUUGCUUUAGGCUAGUGUCGAGCAGUUCGGAGGUCGAUUCGUGCAUGAUGGCACUUUUAGAUUAUUGUUUUUGUAAGGCCCCGUAAAAUAUUACCUAGAACCCGGGGUUUCGUGGUGCCGAGGUAGGCUAAUGUGUUUGAAAAUUGUAGAGCGGUAUGGACGUUUUGGGUUAAACAGUGCAUUCGGGAGUUGAACAGGCAUAUAAUAUACGCGUAUAUAAUGUCAUCUGGUCAUGGGUCAAUGUACAUGUAUAAAUGAAUGCAAUGUAUACGAAAGUAAGUCAAUAAGAUCUCUCGAAAAGUAAUAAGAUCAAUAAGAAUUCAGUUAAUAUCAUGAAAUAAAUGAUAUCAACUUAUGUAAUUUUCGAGACCCAUGAACAGAUGAUAAAAUAAUAGGACACAUGAAAAAUCAAGAACAUGCGCACUCGUAGUACUUCUAUUAAUAGAGUCAUUUGUGAAAGUUGCCUGUUUUCUCGUUUUGUUUGUAUCAUAUGGAUCAUGCCAAAAGGAAAGAAUGGAUAGCCUUAACAUACCUUUGUCAUUUACUUAACCUCAUGGAGUUGGUUCAACCCGUUAGUAUUUCAAUCUUCAACAACGAUAUGGAAGCAUUGUUAAGAUUAAGGAAGCUAGAAUUCAACACAAAUGAGCGACUAGCUCGUCUACGAGUAGUUGGACAGCACCUCCCCUUAUUCUUUUCCUUUCCUCAAAUCAAAUAAAAAGACCAACAUGCCCAGAAUGUCAACAAACAUAUAACAUCAAUAUCCCAACUUAAAAUCCAACGCAAUACAUCACCAAAAUAGUCCAUACAAUCUCAAACAACAACCCAAUGCUACUUUGCACUUUUCCAUCCCUACAAUUUAGCUAGAACUUUUGAAUACACUUCAAUACUGACAACCACGAUAUACACAGGUCAUACUUGCUUAUAUUUAAGCCACAACACAACAUAAAAACGAACUCAUAGCAGUCCACAAAUUACAGCAACUCAAAAUUGAUUUUCAGAUUAUUACUUCAUCAAUUCUUACUCUCACGACUUAGUUAAGGCACCAAUAAGCUUAAAAAAACAUGUCCAAGACAAUAUUCAUAUGUGACAGCCAUAUAAUAACAUGAAACUACUCCAAACAUUCCAUAACACCUCAACAACUUCAACUUAAUUUUCAGCCCCUAUUUCACAAGUCCUUCACCAAACAACCUAGCUAGAGCUUAGAUAAACUCAAAUAAAUAAAGAAGAGAUGAUUUUCUUACCUAGAUCAGAUCUUGUAGGGAUGAAACAAUGGUAUUAUCUUUCCCUUGAUGACCAUUAACUUGCUCCACUUCAGAUCCUUCAAGAUUGGAGAUUACCCAUUAACUUGAAUUGAAAGAAGAAGAAGAUUAUCGACAACUUCUUGAGGGUUUGGAGUAGAUCAAUUUGGGAGAGACUUUCGUGGAACUCUUUAUGUUUCUACUACUUGGAUAUUAUGAGGAUAGGUGUCUUGA
rnacentral:lncRNA from 1 species